GGGGCUGACUUGGAUUUCGACAGAUUUCUUGUCGCACAGAUAGCAUGCCAAGCGCUGCUUGUAAAACAGCAACAAAAAUAACUGUAAACAACGCAGAUUACGCUCCAGCUUACGCUAAAGCUGCGUGAGUUAAUCUCCUUUUGGAGCUGGACUGAUUAGAAUUUCUAGCGUUUUAAUCACUCCAUAACCUUAAGCUAGACGCUUUUAAAAGGUGGUUCGCCUUUUAAACUAAGAAACAAGAACUCUUGAAACUACCUCAAGGUUUUAGAAAGUUGGACCAGAGCUAGUUUUAAGGCUAAAAACUAACCAAUUUUCUAAGCAUUGUAGAAGUUUGUGUUUAGGACAAGAUUUUUGGACUGGGGUUCGAUUCCCCACAGCUCCACCA
rnacentral:tmRNA from 1 species